ACCUGACUGCUAUCGGAUUGAUACUAACCCAUGCGAGUCUUUGUAGUAAUACAAGGCAGACGGCUCAGUAACACGUAGUCAACCUACCCUAUGGACGAGAAUAAUCUCGGGAAACUGAGCAUAAUUCUCGGUAGAUCAUAAUGCCUGGAAUGGUUUAUGGUUAAAAUGAUUCUUCGCCAUAGGAUGGGACUGCGGCCUAUCAGCUUGUUGGUGAGGUAAUGGCCCACCAAGGCGAUUACAGGUACGGGCUCUGAGAGGAGAAGCCCGGAGAUGGGUACUGAGACACGGACCCAGGCCCUAUGGGGCGCAGCAGGCGAGAAAACUUUGCAAUGUGCGAAAGCACGACAAGGUUAAUCCGAGUGAUUUCUGCUAAAGAAAUCUUUUACCAGUCGUAAAACCACUGGCGAAUAAGGGGUGGGCAAGUUCUGGUGUCAGCCGCCGCGGUAAAACCAGCACCUCAAGUGGUCAGGAUGAUUAUUGGGCCUAAAGCAUCCGUAGCCUGCUUUGUAAGUUUUCGGUUAAAUCCAUGUGCUCAACGCAUGGGCUGCCGAAAAUACUGCAUCGCUAGGGAGUGGGAGAGGUAGACGGUACUCGGUAGGAAGGGGUAAAAUCCUUUGAUCUAUUGAUGACCACCUGUGGCGAGGGCGGUCUACCAGAACACGUUCGACGGUGAGGGAUGAAAGCUGGGGGAGCAAACCGGAUUAGAUACCCGGGUAGUCCCAGCUGUAAACGAUGCAGACUCGAUGAUGCAUUGGCAUAAUAGCCAGUGCAGUGUCGCAGGGAAGCCGUUAAGUCUGCCGCCUGGGAAGUACGUACGCAAGUAUGAAACUUAAAGGAAUUGGCGGGGGAGCACCACAAGGGGUGAAGCCUGCGGUUCAAU
rnacentral:rRNA from 1 species